CCUACGGGAGGCAGCAGUAGGGAAUAUUGCUCAAUGGGGGAAACCCUGAAGCAGCAACGCCGCGUGGAGGAUGAAGGUUUUCGGAUUUUAAACUCCUUUUGUUAGAGAAGAUAAUGACGGUAUCUAACGAAUAAGCACCGUCUAACUCCGGGCCAGCAGCCGCGGUAAUACGGCGGGUGCAAGCGUUACUCGGAAUCACUGGGCGUAAAGAGCGCGUAGGCGGGAUAGCAAGUCAGAUGUGAAAUCCUAUGGCUUAACCAUAGAACUGAAGUUGAAACUGUUAUUCUAGAGUAUGGGAGAGGUAGGUGGAAUUCUUGGUGUAGGGGUAAAAUCCGUAGAGAUCAAGAGGAAUACUCAUUGCGAAGGCGACCUGCUAGAACAUAACUGACGCUGAUGCGCGAAAGCGUGGGGAGCAAACAGGAUUAGAUACCCCAGUAGUC
rnacentral:rRNA from 1 species